AACGAACGCUGGCGGCAUGCCUAACACAUGCAAGUCGAACGAGACCUUCGGGUCUAGUGGCGCACGGGUGCGUAACGCGUGGGAACCUGCCCUUAGGUUCGGAAUAACUCCCCGAAAGGGGUGCUAAUACCGGAUAAUGUCUUCGGACCAAAGAUUUAUCGCCUUUGGAUGGGCCCGCGUUGGAUUAGCUAGUUGGUAGGGUAAAAGCCUACCAAGGCGACGAUCGAUAGCUGGUCUGCGAGGAUGAUCAGCCACACUGGGACUGAGACACGGCCCAGACUCCUACGGGAGGCAGCAGUGGUGAAUAUUGGACACUGGGCGAACGCCUGAUCCAGCAAUGCCGCGUGAGUGAUGAAGGCCUUAGGGUUGUAAAGCUCUUUUACCCGGGAUGAUAAUGACCGUCCCGGGAGAAUAAGCUCCGGCUAACUCCGUG
rnacentral:rRNA from 1 species